CAGCGCCACGAGUGGCAACCGCGUUUAUUGGGCCUAAAGCGUCCGUAGCCGGUUUGGUAAAUCUUUUGUGAAAUCGUCAGACUUAACCUGACGGUGUGCAGAAGACACUGCCAAACUCGAGACCGGGAGGGGUUAGAAGUAUUCCAGGGGGAGCGGUAAAAUGUUAUAAUCCCUGGAGGACUACCUAUGGCGAAGGCAUCUAACCAGAACGGAUCUGACGGUGAGGGACGAAAGUUGAGGUAGCGAACCGGAUUAGAUACCCCAGUAGUCC
rnacentral:rRNA from 1 species